rnacentral:rRNA from 1 species
AUUGAACGCUGGCGGCAGGCCUAACACAUGCAAGUCGAACGGUAACAGGAAGCAGCUUGCUGCUUUGCUGACGAGUGGCGGACGGGUGAGUAAUGUCUGGGAAACUGCCCGAUGGAGGGGGAUAACUACUGGAAACGGUAGCUAAUACCGCAUAACGUCGCAAGACCAAAGAGGGGGACCUUAGGGCCUCUUGCCAUCGGAUGUGCCCAGAUGGGAUUAGCUAGUAGGUGGGGUAACGGCUCACCUAGGCGACGAUCCCUAGCUGGUCUGAGAGGAUGACCAGCAACACUGGAACUGAGACACGGUCCAGACUCCUACGGGAGGCAGCAGUGGGGAAUAUUGCACAAUGGGCGAAAGCCUGAUGCAGCCAUGCCGCGUGUAUGAAGAAGGCCUUCGGGUUGUAAAGUACUUUCAGCGGGGAGGAAGGGAGUAAAGUUAAUACCUUUGCUCAUUGACGUUACCCGCAGAAGAAGCACCGGCUAACUCCGU